GAGCACGUAGCUCAGUGGCAGAGCACUUGCUUGACGUGCAAGGGGUCGCAGGUUCAAAUCCUGCCGUGCUCACCA
rnacentral:tRNA from 1 species